rnacentral:rRNA from 1 species
GUGAGGAAUAUUGGUCAAUGGACGAGUGUCUGAACCAGCCAAGUCGCGUGAAGGAAGACGGUUCUAUGAAUUGUAAACUUCUUUUGUGCAGGAAUAAAGUGGGUUACGUGUAACCUUUUGUAUGUACUGUACGAAUAAGGAUCGGCUAACUCCGUGCCAGCAGCCGCGGUAAUACGGAGGAUCCGAGCGUUAUCCGGAUUUAUUGGGUUUAAAGGGUGCGUAGGUGGAUUGAUAAGUCAGCAGUGAAAGUUUGCAGCUUAACUGUAAAAUUGCCGUUGAAACUGUCGGUCUUGAGUGCAAAUGAGGUAGGCGGAAUGUGUUGUGUAGCGGUGAAAUGCUUAGAUAUAACACAGAACUCCGAUUGCGAAGGCAGCUUACUGGGAUGCAACUGACACUGAUGCACGAAAGCGUGGGGAUCAAACAGGAUUAGAAACCCCAGUAGUCC